UACGGGGGGGGCAAGCGUUGUUCGGAAUUACUGGGCGUAAAGGGCGCGUAGGCGGUCCGCUAAGUUGGAUGUGAAAACUCUGGGCUUAACCCAGAGCCUGCAUUCAAAACUGACGGGCUGGAGUUCUGGAGGGGAUAGCGGAAUUCCUGGUGUAGCGGUGAAAUGCGUAGAUAUCAGGAGGAACACCGGUGGCGAAGGCGGCUAUCUGGACAGAAACUGACGCUGAGGCGCGAAAGCUAGGGGAGCAAACAGGAUUAGAAACCCCCGUAGUCC
rnacentral:rRNA from 1 species